AGACCCGAAACCCGGUGAUCUAGCCAUGGGCAGGUUGAAGGUUGGGUAACACUAACUGGAGGACCGAACCGACUAAUGUUGAAAAAUUAGCGGAUGACCUGUGGCUGGGGGUGAAAGGCCAAUCAAACCGGGAGAUAGCUGGUUCUCCCCGAAAGCUAUUUAGGUAGCGCCUCGUGAAUUCAUCUCCGGGGGUAGAGCACUGUUUCGGCUAGGGGGCCAUCCCGGCUUACCAACCCGAUGCAAACUGCGAAUACCGGAGAAUGUUAUCACGGGAGACACACGGCGGGUGCUAACGUCCGUCGUGAAGAGGGAAACAACCCAGACCGCCAGCUAAGGUCCCAAAGUCAUGGUUAAGUGGGAAACGAUGUGGGAAGGCCCAGACAGCCAGGAUGUUGGCUUAGAAGCAGCCAUCAUUUAAAGAAAGCGUAAUAGCUCACUGGUCGAGUCGGCCUGCGCGGAAGAUGUAACGGGGCUAAACCAUGCACCGAAGCUGCGGCAGCGACGUUUAUGCGUUGUUGGGUAGGGGAGCGUUCUGUAAGCCUGCGAAGGUGGCCUGUGAGGGUUGCUGGAGGUAUCAGAAGUGCGAAUGCUGACAUAAGUAACGAUAAAGCGGGUGAAAAGCCCGCUCGCCGGAAGACCAAGGGUUCCUGUCCAACGUUAAUCGGGGCAGGGUGAGUCGACCCCUAAGGCGAGGCCGAAAGGCGUAGUCGAUGGGAAACGGGUUAAUAUUCCCGUACUUGGUGUUACUGCGAAGGGGGGACGGAGAAGGCUAUGUUGGCCGGGCGACGGUUGUCCCGGUUUAAGCGUGUAGGCUGGUUUUCCAGGCAAAUCCGGAAAAUCAAGGCUGAGGCGUGACGACGAGGCACUACGGUGCUGAAGCAACAAAUGCCCUGCUUCCAGGAAAAGCCUCUAAGCAUCAGGUAACAUCAAAUCGUACCCCAAACCGACACAGGUGGUCAGGUAGAGAAUACCAAGGCGCUUGAGAGAACUCGGGUGAAGGAACUAGGCAAAAUGGUGCCGUAACUUCGGGAGAAGGCACGCUGACACGUAGGUGAAGUGAUUUACUCAUGGAGCUGAAGUCAGUCGAAGAUACCAGCUGGCUGCAACUGUUUAUUAAAAACACAGCACUGUGCAAACACGAAAGUGGACGUAUACGGUGUGACGCCUGCCCGGUGCCGGAAGGUUAAUUGAUGGGGUCAGCGCAAGCGAAGCUCCUGAUCGAAGCCCCGGUAAACGGCGGCCGUAACUAUAACGGUCCUAAGGUAGCGAAAUUCCUUGUCGGGUAAGUUCCGACCUGCACGAAUGGCGUAAUGAUGGCCAGGCUGUCUCCACCCGAGACUCAGUGAAAUUGAACUCGCUGUGAAGAUGCAGUGUACCCGCGGCAAGACGGAAAGACCCCGUGAACCUUUACUAUAGCUUGACACUGAACAUUGAGCCUUGAUGUGUAGGAUAGGUGGGAGGCUUUGAAGUGUGG
rnacentral:rRNA from 1 species